ACGCUGGCGGCGUGCCUAAUACAUGCAAGUAGAACGCUGAAGAGAGGAGCUUGCUCUUCUUGGAUGAGUUGCGAACGGGUGAGUAACGCGUAGGUAACCUGCCUUGUAGCGGGGGAUAACUAUUGGAAACGAUAGCUAAUACCGCAUAACAAUGGAUGACACAUGUCAUUUAUUUGAAAGGGGCAAUUGCUCCACUACAAGAUGGACCUGCGUUGUAUUAGCUAGUAGGUGAGGUAAUGGCUCACCUAGGCGACGAUACAUAGCCGACCUGAGAGGGUGAUCGGCCACACUGGGACUGAGACACGGCCCAGACUCCUACGGGAGGCAGCAGUAGGGAAUCUUCGGCAAUGGGGGCAACCCUGACCGAGCAACGCCGCGUGAGUGAAGAAGGUUUUCGGAUCGUAAAGCUCUGUUGUAAGUCAAGAACGGGUGUGAGAGUGGAAAGUUCACACUGUGACGGUAGCUUACCAGAAAGGGACGGCUAACUACGUGCCAGCAGCCGCGGUAAUACGUAGGUCCCGAGCGUUGUCCGGAUUUAUUGGGCGUAAAGCGAGCGCAGGCGGUUUGAUAAGUCUGAAGUUAAAGGCUGUGGCUCAACCAUAGUUCGCUUUGGAAACUGUCAAACUUGAGUGCAGAAGGGGAGAGUGGAAUUCCAUGUGUAGCGGUGAAAUGCGUAGAUAUAUGGAGGAACACCGGUGGCGAAAGCGGCUCUCUGGUCUGUAACUGACGCUGAGGCUCGAAAGCGUGGGGAGCGAACAGGAUUAGAUACCCUGGUAGUCCACGCCGUAAACGAUGAGUGCUAGGUGUUGGAUCCUUUCCGGGAUUCAGUGCCGCAGCUAACGCAUUAAGCACUCCGCCUGGGGAGUACGACCGCAAGGUUGAAACUCAAAGGAAUUGACGGGGGCCCGCACAAGCGGUGGAGCAUGUGGUUUAAUUCGAAGCAACGCGAAGAACCUUACCAGGUCUUGACAUCCCGAUGCUAUUUCUAGAGAUAGAAAGUUACUUCGGUACAUCGGUGACAGGUGGUGCAUGGUUGUCGUCAGCUCGUGUCGUGAGAUGUUGGGUUAAGUCCCGCAACGAGCGCAACCCCUAUUGUUAGUUGCCAUCAUUCAGUUGGGCACUCUAGCGAGACUGCCGGUAAUAAACCGGAGGAAGGUGGGGAUGACGUCAAAUCAUCAUGCCCCUUAUGACCUGGGCUACACACGUGCUACAAUGGUUGGUACAACGAGUUGCGAGUCGGUGACGGCGAGCUAAUCUCUUAAAGCCAAUCUCAGUUCGGAUUGUAGGCUGCAACUCGCCUACAUGAAGUCGGAAUCGCUAGUAAUCGCGGAUCAGCACGCCGCGGUGAAUACGUUCCCGGGCCUUGUACACACCGCCCGUCACACCACGAGAGUUUGUAACACCCGAAGUCGGUGAGGUAACCUUUUGGAGCCAGCCGCCUAAGGUGGGACAGAUGAUUGGGGUGAAGUCGUA
rnacentral:rRNA from 1 species